rnacentral:rRNA from 1 species
UACGUAGGGCGCAAGCGUUGUCCGGAAUUAUUGGGCGUAAAGAGCUCGUAGGCGGCUUGUCACGUCGGGUGUGAAAGCCCGGGGCUUAACCCCGGGUCUGCAUUCGAUACGGGCUAGCUAGAGUGUGGUAGGGGAGAUCGGAAUUCCUGGUGUAGCGGUGAAAUGCGCAGAUAUCAGGAGGAACACCGGUGGCGAAGGCGGUUCUCUGGGCAACAACUGACGCUGAGGAGCGAAAGCGUGGGGAGCGAACAGG